UCCCCGGUAGCUCAGUCGGUAGAGCAAGUGACUGUUAAUCACUGGGUCGGAGGUUCGAGUCCUUCCCGGGGAG
rnacentral:tRNA from 1 species